rnacentral:misc_RNA from 1 species
GAUGAAGAACGCUGCGAAAUGCGAUAAGUAAUGUGAAUUGCAGAAUUCAGUGAAUCAUCGAAUCUUUGAACGCACAUUGCGCCCCCUGGCAUUCCGGGGGGCAUGCCUGUUCGAGCGUCAUUACAACCCUCAAGCUCUGCUUGGUAUUGGGCUCUGCUGGGACCGGCAGGCCUUAAAAUCAGUGGCGGCGCCACUCGGCUUCAAGCGUAGUAAUUCUUCUCGCUUCGGAGACCCGGGUGCGUGCUAGCCAGCAACCCCCAACUUUCUUAGGUUGACCUCGGAUCAGGUAGGGAUACCCGCUGAACUUAAGCAUAUCAAUAAGCGGAGGA